rfam:Danio rerio chromosome 22, GRCz11 reference primary assembly.
ACCGGCAGCUAGCUCUCUGCAACUCUCACAUGGUCGCCUACUGAAGCUAAGCAGGGCUGCGCCCGGUCAGUAUCUAGAUGGGAGACCACAUGGGAAAGCUAGGUUGCUGCCGGAA